CUACGGGAGGCAGCAGUGGGGAAUAUUGCGCAAUGGGGGAAACCCUGACGCAGCAACGCCGCGUGGAUGAAGAAGGCCUUCGGGUUGUAAAGCUCUGUCUUCUGGGACGAUAAUGACGGUACCAGAGGAGGAAGCCACGGCUAACUACGUGCCAGCAGCCGCGGUAAU
rnacentral:rRNA from 1 species